GAAAAAUGUAAAUAAAUAUGGAACAAGCGACAGAAAGAAUAUUUCAGUUUAUGUAAAAAUAAUAUGAGUUUACGGUGCUACCUAGGGGUUAGAGGCGAGCUCUGUAAACAGCAGCUGAUGCUCUUUUAACUGAAAUAUACUUCUCAAAGUGAAAGAAUGGCUGAAUUAAUACAACUGAUGUGUAAAAUUUCCUCAUUUGAUCCACUGUCUGUGAUUAGACAUUUGACUGGAGAGAUUGUUAAUGACAGUGAGACCACCUGCACUGACAGCAUUGGGAAGAAAAUCAACAACAUCAACAUUCUCAGCAGCAUUCUGAAGAGUUUACACCUGGCCAGUGACAAUCACACAAUGGACAAGAUUGUUUCUGCAGAUAUACUAGAAAUAAUAUCUGGCAUUUGUUUUGCUUUAUUGCUUGAACUCCAACCCUCAUAUGAUGGAAGGGAAAAUACUUUGUCGUCAGUGGCUGCCAUUUGUGAUCUGCUAAUGGUGUGUAUGGAGAUUUGCCAGGAUGACCAAGUAAUAGUUGUUCUUAAAAAGUGUGAUCACUUCCUUGAUGUUUGGCUGGCUGAGCAACCUUGCAUACCUGAUCAGAAACACUCAAAAGAGCAAGGCAUCAUGGAUAUUAUUUGCACUGUAGAAAUUUACAAAACAGUGUUUUCUCUUGAAAGGUGUCGACUUAACACAAGUGACAUUUUUGAAAAGUGUUGUACUCUUUUUGACAGUUUAUUUUCAAAAGUUUUAAACAUCCUGCCACAUGUUCCCAAUAAGGUCAUCUCACGCAUUGUGUUUGGUGUUAUUGCUAAUUUACUGAAGCAGGAUCCUAACCAGGCUGUUUCUAGAAUGAGCAAAUUGUGGAACACUGUUGAGAGUUUUGUAGUUGCAGACAGAAUAGAUUUCAUUCAGCAGACUCUUCUCAUUCUUUGUAGUCUAGCAGAUUUUCUUUUCCCUGUUACUGGAGAACCUCUUGGCAUUCAUCUUAAAUGCUCAAACCACUUUUGGAUGAUUGUACAGCAAGCUAUGGUUCAUACAAACCCUCUCACAAGGAAGCGAGCCAUGUACCUGCUUAAGAGGAUCAUUGAUAUCUGUGAGAAGCAGUUUGCCGAUGUGUCUGCUGGUGCAUGUCCAGUUUUUGUUUGGAAGAAGGCCAGUGAAAAAGAAUUCUCCAAAACAUGGGAAGAUGUUGUGUUGAUUUUGGAAACUUUAGAAGAAAAGCAAGUUCAUGUGAUUAAGCCUCUGUUGGGAAGGAUGGAGUUCUUGCUGAAAGCGACAUUUUUACACAGUGGAGGUAACUGUCAAUUGAUAAAGGGGCCAUUCCAUGAUGUUCUUUACUAUCUGCACACAUCCUGGUUGGUGACUAUUUUCAAACGUUGUCUAAUGCACGAGAGUGUCUUUGUGAUAAAGUGGGCAGUGGAGACGAUUCUGAAUUUGGACUAUGACAUGGUUCCAUUGCUGACACAAGGUCAACACGAGUUUUUAUCAACAUCAUUUCUGCUGGCAUUUCAAGAGCUAAAAAUAUAUACACGGCAACAAGGUGUUUCUCGUGGCUCAAGUCCUUUUGUUGGCCCUGGACUGAUAAAUUUUUUCUCUUCAUGCAUUCGAGUUAUUCAAGAACCUAUGAGGCAAGCCAGUUUUCUCAAACAAGUUCUCAACACAAUCAUGUCAACUUCCUGGAGCUCUGUUCCUGUAAUGUUCUUCACUCAGGGCCUGUCCCACAUUCCACAAUCUUCUCUACUGGACAAAGAUGCCAUUUUCAUUAUCAAGGAUAUUGUUGUGUCUCGACUCACAACUAUGGAGCCUCAUGCUAAAGGCAUUGUGCAGUGUUUUCUUGUCCAGACAUUGAUUAACCUAAUAGAUCAGAAUCAAGUCAGUUUAGAAGAUUUUGUUGAUGUGAUAUCUAAAUUUGACAAAGACCUUUGUCUGCAAAGGGGCACAACACAAUGGAAACAAACUGUAGAUUGGCUAGAAAAAACAAGCACUACAGGCUGGUCUAGGCAGUCUGUACAGAAAACUGUAUUGUCCAUGGUCCAAGACUGUUUGCAAGUCAAAGAAGAUACAGAAAUCAACAUGGCUGACCAACUUAAAAUAGGUCAGAUUUCACGUCUGGUAUUACUUGCAGCAGAUGCAGGUAUCCUUGGAAACAAAUCAAACCCUGAAGAUGUAACUCUUGAUGACCUUCUGAAUCUGCUGACUGCUAUUAUUAACUCUGUCAGUUCGCAUGCCUAUAUGCCAAAGGUAAAGGCAGACAAGGCAGUUUACCUGUUAGCAGCCAUUUCUGAAGAGCAAGGGAAAGUAUGUGACAAUCCUGUCGACUCAAGUAUACAACAUGCUUUUUUUGUGUGUCAAAAAGAACUGUAUGACUACAUUGCAUCAAGAGUUAACAGUGACUAUUCAGAGAUAAGAGAUCUUUCACUGGUCAGUAUAUACACUGAAGUAAUACAGAUUUUCCACAAAUAUGCAAUGCCAGGAGAUGCUUGGUCUUCACGGUCCCUGACAGACCUCUGCACACGAUGUAUUCAAACUCUGAAGGUUGUGCAAAGUGUGGCUGAAAAAUCAUUGCAACAUCAGAUGCUGCAAAUUGCAGCCAUCAGUGUUCUGUCCACCGUCUGUCUACUGAUCGAUGAUGACAGUGAUGUUAAGAGUUGGCAGUCAGUUGCACAGUGUAUCUUUGAUUAUGUUAUCAGCAUGAAACUUGAUACAUCUUUUACCAAAGAAGAGGCUGUCACUGAUGAUGGAAAUGGUGAUGGAAAAAGAAACUGGGGAAAAGUUGUUUCUCGCUUUAUGACUGCUCAGUGGCAGCUUGUUUGUUUUUGUCUGAGAAGAUUGCCAUGCAGUGUUCCAGCAGAAUGUCUCUUUUAUAAAUGUCUAGAAGCUUUUGACACUGGAUCAUGGGAGUCAGACUUACCUGUCAUGGAUUGCCUAGCUGCUUUGUUGCCUCAGUUGUUGACAUGUAAUGUUAAACCAGAACAACUGACCAUGGCUAUUGAUUUAGCCUGGGUAAAGACAAAUGAGGAACAUCACACUGCUGGCUUCUGGCUUAAACUGAGAUCAUUUAUUAACAUGGCUUUUCAAAAUUCACUUCUACACCAACCAAAAGAUUCCAUUAUUUUACAACAUUUACUGAAGUAUGCACGCAAAUUGUUUUCAUUUGGAGAUGACAAGACUGGUGUUUUAAACUUAUUGGUUGAGAAACUCUGUGAUGUGUGGCACUCUCUGGAUGGCAUCUUCAUAGCUGAGAAACUUAUUACUCUUUUAACUGAUGCCUGCAUUUUUGGUGAAAUCUACAAAAAGGCUGACAACCUCUUCCCUGAUGUUUGGGCAUAUUUUGUGACAUUGCAGGAUGAAGUGGCAGUCAAUGAAAUUCUUCCAAGAUUGAAAAGGAAUGGUCUUGUUGUGCGCAGCAUGAUUGUGAAUUUUCUCAUUCGACUGAGACCUGAAGAUAGCAAGCACACUGAUCUGGCAAUGAGUUUGUGGAAGGAGUUGGUACAGCGCUAUCAGCUACUUGUGGAUGAUACAGUUUACAGGCAGUAUAACAAUUCACUGAGUCAUCGAUGCAAGCAUCGCAUUUUUCAAAUACUGCUAUUAAUGGAACCAUUUAUUUCAGAGGAUAACAGGGUUGAAUGCUGGUCGUUCAUCUGGAAGUCAUUAGUUACUGAAGUUCAUCCAUCAGUCCGUCACAUGCAGGAAUGGCUUGUGCUUCGACUUGCUCUUAGAUUUCCGACAUUUGUUGAUGAUUUGUGGAUAUAUUUUGAUGAAUUUUCAGAAAGAAGGAAUUUGAGUUUAACAUCUUUAAUUACGAUUGUUUCUCACCUGGGACCACACCUGCCAAAAUCAUUGCAGUUACUACAUGAAAGCCAUCCCUACAGUGAUACCCUGGUGCAUGGCUCAUCAUUUCAACACACGUCUUCAUGCUCAAGUGACCAUCAUAAAACUGUGGAAUCAGUGCAUUGCUGUAGAACUUGAUGAUGUCACAUCUGCUUUCAGCAUUGUGAAAACAUUCAUGUGCUUCAACACAGAGAACAACAACACAAUGAAAAAUGUUAAAAAGUUAUUUGAAAAUUACUUCAUAAAAACUUUUGAUUUUGUACGGGACUACAGCCUUGAG
rnacentral:misc_RNA from 1 species